rnacentral:rRNA from 1 species
AGUGAACGCUGGCGGUAGGCCUAACACAUGCAAGUCGAACGGCAGCACAGGAGAGCUUGCUCUCUGGGUGGCGAGUGACGGACGGGUGAGGAAUACAUCGGAAUCUACUCUGUCGUGGGGGAUAACGUAGGGAAACUUACGCUAAUACCGCAUACGACCUACGGGUGAAAGCAGGGGACCUUCGGGCCUUGCGCGAUUGAAUGAGCCGAUGUCGGAUUAGCUAGUUGGCGGGGUAAAGGCCCACCAAGGCGACGAUCCGUAGCUGGUCUGAGGGGAGGAUCAGCCACAGUGGAACUGAGACACGGUCCAGACUCCUACGGGAGUCAGCAGUGGGGAAUAUUGGACAAUGGGCGCAAGCCUGAUCCAGCCAUACCGCGCGGGUGAAGAAGGCCUUCGGGUUGUAAAGCCCUUUUGUUGGGAAAGAAAUCCAGCUGGCUAAUACCCGGUUGGGAUGACGGUACCCAAAGAAUAAGCACCGGCUAACUUCGUGCCAGCAGCCGCAGUAA